GCACUUUUGUUCUUCAUAUUUUCUUUUGCCAUGGACCUUAUAUUCUUUGAAUGUAUAAUUACAGCAAAACCGUUUUCACAUCUUGAGGCUGCUCAAAGUGAAACAUGAGUCUGGCAUGUCUGGUGUGCCAUAGUGUUGAAAGCCCAUCACAGUCCUUCAGAAGUUACUCUGUAUCGAGUUCAGACAAUGACGGAAGAUGUUCAGCGAUUGCCAAUUGUUUGAUCAAGAAAAUAUCGCUUGGCCACCCAGCUGCAAAUGGUGGCAUCACAACCUCUAAAGUGACCCCUCAGCCUACUGAUACGAAUAAUGGCAUAACAGGCCCCCCACGGCUUGUCAGAAGCCGUGCUGUGAGGAGGGAUAUAGUCAGAGACUGGAACUUUGACGAGGUUGUGUUGGAG
rnacentral:misc_RNA from 1 species